GGCACUGUGGUUUAGUGGUUUGCACGUUUUGCCUCACACCUCCAGGGUUGGGGGUUCGAAUCCUGCCUCUGCCC